rnacentral:rRNA from 1 species
AGAGUUUGAUCCUGGCUCAGAUUGAACGCUGGCGGUAUGCUUAACACAUGCAAGUCGAACGCGAAAGUCCCUUCGGGGGCGAGUAGAGUGGCGAACGGGUGAGUAACACGUAGGAAUCUGCCCUAAAGUGGGGGACAACUCCGCGAAAGCGGAGCUAAUACCGCAUAAUUUCCAUGCUUUAGUAUGGAAAAAAGCAGGGGACCUUUCGGGGCCUUGUGCUUUAGGAUGAGCCUGCGUCGGAUUAGCUUGUUGGUGGGGUAAAAGCCUACCAAGGCCGCGAUCCGUAGCUGGUCUGAGAGGACGAUCAGCCACAUUGGGACUGAGACACGGCCCAAACUCCUACGGGAGGCAGCAGUGGGGAAUAUUGGACAAUGGGCGCAAGCCUGAUCCAGCAAUACCGCGUGUGUGAAGAAGGCCUGCGGGUUGUAAAGCACUUUCGGUGGGGAGGAAAUACCCAAGGUUAAUAUCCUUGGGGGUUGACGUUACCCACAGAAGAAGCACCGGCUAACUCUGUGCCAGCAGCCGCGGUAAUACAGAGGGUGCAAGCGUUAAUCGGAGUUACUGGGCGUAAAGCGUGCGUAGGCGGAAACUCAAGUCGGAUGUGAAAGCCCCGGGCUUAACCUGGGAACUGCAUUCGAUACUGAGCUUCUAGAGUAUGAUAGAGGGAAGUGGAAUUUCCGGUGUAGCGGUGAAAUGCGUAGAUAUCGGAAAGAACACCAGUGGCGAAGGCGACUUCCUGGAUCAAUACUGACGCUGAGGCACGAAAGCGUGGGGAGCAAACAGGAUUAGAGACCCUGGUAGUCCACGCCGUAAACGAUGAGAACUAGACGUUAGCCUGACUUUUAAAUCAACUUUCCCCUUUCCUUGUGUGAAGGAUAGGUUAGGGAAGAUGAUUUAAUGGUCAGGUUAGUGUCGAAGCUAACGCGUUAAGUUCUCCGCCUGGGGAGUACGGCCGCAAGGCUAAAACUCAAAGGAAUUGACGGGGGCCCGCACAAGCGGUGGAGCAUGUGGUUUAAUUCGAUGCUACGCGAAAAACCUUACCUACCCUUGAAAUCCUCGGAAUCCUCUAGAGAUAGAGGAGUGCCUUCGGGAAUCGAGUGACAGGUGCUGCAUGGCUGUCGUCAGCCCGUGUCGUGAGAUGUUGGGUUAAGUCCCGUAACGAGCGCAACCCUUGUCCUUAGUUGCCAGCCUUACCUUGAGUAAGAGGAACUCUAAGGAGACUGCCGGUGAUAAACCGGAGGAAGGUGGGGACGACGUCAAGUCAUCAUGGCCCUUACGGGUAGGGCUACACACAUGCUACAAUGGUCAGUACAGAGGGUUGCUAAGUCGCGAGAUGGAGCCAAUCCCAGAAAACUGUUCGUAGUCCGGAUUGGAGUCUGCAGUUCGACUCCAUGAAGUCGGAAUCGCUAGUAAUCGCGAAUCAGAACGUCGCGGUGAAUACGUUCCCGGGCCUUGUACACACCGCCCGUCACACCAUGGGAGUGAGUUGUACCAGAAGCGGGUAGGAUAACCUUCGGGAAUCCGCUCACCACGGUAUGGUUCAUGACUGGGGUGAAGUCGUAACAAGGUA